UUUAAGGUCUAACCUGCCCAAUGAGGAUUUAAAUGGCCGCAGUAUUUUGACUGUGCAAAGGUAGCAUAAUUAUUAGUUUUUUAAUUGAAAGCUUGUAUGAAGGGUUGGACGAGAUGAAAUCUGUCUUUAUUUAAAUUAAAAUAUAAUUUAACUUUUAAGUAAAAAGGCUUAAAUGUUUAUAAAAGACGAGAAGACCCUAUAGAUCUUUAUUUAAUUAAAAUUUUAAUAAUUUAGGAUUAUUUUAAUUUAAAGUUUUAAUUAAAUUUUAUUGGGGUAAUAUAAAGAUUAAAUAAAUUCUUUUUAUUUAUAACAUUGAUUUAUGAAUAUGUGAUCCAUUAAUAUUGAUUAUAAGAUUAAGUUACCUUAGGGAUAACAGCGUAAUUUUUUUGGAGAGCUCAUAUCGAUAAAAAAGUUUGCGACCUCGAUGUUGGAUUAAAAAUUAGCUUGGGUGCAGAAGCUCAAGAUUUUGGUCUGUUCGACCAUUAAAUUUUUACAUGAUCUGAGUUCAGACCGGCGUGAGCCAGGUCGGUUUCUAUCUUUAUUAAGAUAAAAUGUUUUAGUACGAAAGGACCAAAUAUUUAAUAUAAUUAUAUUUAUUUUUUGAAGAAUAUU
rnacentral:rRNA from 2 species